CAUCCUAUAGCUCAGUUGGAUAGAGCAUCAUAUUCAUAAGUGAAGGUGGAGAGUUCGAAUCUCUCUGGGAUCA